rnacentral:lncRNA from 1 species
GGAGAUGGGAGCGCCUAGGGACCCGAACCGAGUGCACCUGCUGCAGCCUGGCACUAGGGAUUUGAAAAUCCAUGGAGAUGGAAACCUAUGCCGAGGUUAGAAGACCUGGAUCCACUUUGCAGGAUUUUAAAUAUCCUUCAAGCCUCAGUGCCUGGCAGACUGGACUUUGGACUUCGGACUUCCAGCUCCGAUGCUGAAAAAGGAGGGUUUUUUUGUUUGUUUGUUUUUCCACUUUGCUUCCUUGCUUGUCGAGGCUGAGAACAUACGGUGUUUUUGAGGGCCACCAUCAAAGGGUACUCGCUUCUCCAAACCUUGGAACCCGAGGUCUAGCCUUGGAAAGAGUUGCCGCCUUACCAUCUCUCCUCGCCUAGGGAAGCCCCAGCUGUGUGCGCUACUGCAGGGUCACAGUGCCGCGGUGCCGAGCUUCUUUCGUGGUCCCUGUCGCCGUCCGUUUCUUGAGAUUUCAGACUCUGGGCUUGGAAACCAGUUGACUGCCUUUCUUAGCGAGGUGCCCUCGGAAACCUGUGGAGGAAUGUUUGGAUUAUGAAUGCUCACCGUGCCGAGGUUUUGAGACUACUGUAAGACAGAUGAGAAAACCUGAGGUUUGUAUUGCUUUCCCUCCUCCUUGCUUUGACCAAACUCUGCUGAACAAGGAUUCUCUACCAAAGCCUUGGUGCCUCCAUCUUUCUUUCUUUUAUUUUGUAUUUAUUUAUUUAUUUUAUUCUUUUUACUUUCUUUUAUUGGGGGGGGGCAGUGUCUCACUGUGUAGCUCUGGUUGGUCUGGAACUCACUAUGAACACCAGGCUGGUAUUGAACUCAGAGAGAUCUACCUGUGCCUGCCUAACACACACACACACAUCCUGAGCAAUGGGAAUAAAGGCACAUGCCACCAUAUCUAGCCCCAUCUUUCUUUUAGAAUACAGCAAGAAAUGAACCUGAAAAUCCAGUUAGAGCUGCAGAUUUGAGCUUCUCUGUUGACAUUGGAUGAAACUUAGUGCUGGCAUGAGCAGAACCCCAAAUUCUAGCUCCCACAGUCGCCCAGAGUGCUUGCUGCCUCUGGGGAAAAACGUGCAGAGAUCAGCUCAGCCCAGCAGUGAACAGUGUUUUAACACCAAGUGUCCUUGCCAGUGCUCUGACCUUGACCUUUCCCCAGUGGUGACUCAGACCACAGACUGGACUACAUUCUCUUCAUACACAACUUUCCCCUUGGUCUGACCACACAGAGCUGGAACAUUUCCUCCUCCAUAUUUCCUCCUCCUCCUCCUCCUCCUCCUCCUCCUCCUCUUCUACCUCUUCUUCCCGCUCCUCCUCCUUCUUGUUGAUUUAGUUGGUUAGUUGGUUAGUUGGUUGGUUGGCUUUUUGAGACCUGGUCUCUGUCUGUACUUCUCUAUCCUGGAGCUCACUAUGUAGACCAGGCUGGCCUUGAAACCACAGAGAUCCUCCUUCUUCUGCCUCCCAAGCCUAAGUCUUUCUUCCCUGUGACUUCCCUGUGACUGGCUGUUGCAACCAAAACAAAUAAAAGAGACAUUUGCAAGGUCAAA